UAGGGAAUUUUGCGCAAUGGACGAAAGUCUGACGCAGCAAUACCGUGUGAGGGAUGAAGCAUUUCGGUGUGUAAACCUCUGUCGUCGGUGAAUAAAGGUGUUGGGAGUGGAAAGCCCAGCAUUUGAAUGUAGCCGAGAAGGAAGCACCGGCUAACUCUGUGCCAGCAGCCGCGGUAAUACAGGGGGUGCAAGCGUUGUUCGGAAUCACUGGGCGUAAAGGGAGCGUAGGCGGGAGUGCAAGACAGAGGUUAAAUGUUCGGGCUCAACCUGAAAUCUGCCUUUGUGACUGCAUUUCUUGAGUAUGGCAGAGGCUAGUGGAAUUACCGGUGUAGCGGUGGAAUGCGUAGAUAUCGGUAAGAACACCAGAGGCGAAGGCGACUAGCUGGGCCAAUACUGACGC
rnacentral:rRNA from 1 species